UACGUAGGGUGCGAGCGUUAAUCGGAAUUACUGGGCGUAAAGCGUGCGCAGGCGGUUUUGUAAGCCAGAUGUGAAAUCCCUCGGCUCAACUGAGGAACUGCCUUUGAAACUGUCUGGCUUGAGGCCGGGAGAGGGUAGCGGAAUUCCCAGUGUAGCGGUGAAAUGCGUAGAUAUUGGGAGGAACACCAGUGGCGAAGGCGGCUACCUGGACCGGUUCUGACGCUGAGGCGCGAAAGCGUGGGUAGCAAACAGG
rnacentral:rRNA from 1 species